rnacentral:rRNA from 1 species
AACCCUGAUGCAGCUAUACCGUGUGUGUGAAGAAGGCCUUAGGGUUGUAAAGCACUUUCAAUGGGGAAGAAUUUAAUAUUGCUAAUAUCGAUAUUAAUUGACGUUACCUAUAUAAGAAGCACCGGCUAACUCCGUGCCAGCAGCCGCGGUAAUACGGAGGGUGCAAGCGUUAAUCGGAAUUACUGGGCGUAAAGAGUACGUAGGUGGUUUGUUAAGUCAGAUGUGAAACCCCUGAGCUUAACUUAGGAACUGCAUUUGAAACUAAUAAACUAGAGUUUCGUAGAGGGGGGUAGAAUUCCAGGUGUAGCGGUGAAAUGCGUAGAGAUCUGGAGGAAUACCAGUGGCGAAGGCGACCCCCUGGACGGAAACUGACACUCAGGUACGAAAGCAUGGGGAGCAAACAGGAUUAGAUACCCUGGUAGUCCAUGCCGUAAACGAUGUCGAUUUGAA